GCCCCUAUAGUAUAGCCUGGAUCCGUUCAAGCCAGACAGUACGUGAGGUUGCGGACCUUAUAGCCGGGGUUCGAAUCCCCGUAGGGGCA
rnacentral:tRNA from 1 species